rnacentral:tRNA from 1 species
CCUCCCUUACAAGGAGGGGGUCGGCGGUUCGAUCCCGUCAUCACCCACCA